UACGUAGGGUGCAAGCGUUAAUCGGAAUUACUGGGCGUAAAGCGUGCGCAGGCGGCUUUGCAAGACAGAUGUGAAAUCCCCGGGCUUAACCUGGGAAUUGCAUUGAGGACUGGCGUGCUCGAGUGCGGCAGAGGGGGGUGGAAUUCCACGUGUAGCAGUGAAAUGCGUAGAGAUGUGGAGGAACACCGAUGGCGAAGGCAGCCCCCUGGGCCGACACUGACGCUCAUGCACGAAAGCGUGGGGAGCAAACAGG
rnacentral:rRNA from 1 species